AUGUGGGCUGGGCUGAGGAACCCCAAAGUAACCAACCAGUGGGCCAAAGUCGUCGCCCCCUCCCCUCCCCGGAGGAAUCAAUAUGGAAUCUUCCAAACACUUGGCAUGUACUUCAAGACUCGGAGGCAAUCUUUGGCAUGUUUAUCAUUAGAUGUAACCGACCUAUGUGUAACCCUAGGUACCCCGGUGUCAUAUAAGCUAAGGGGUGUAGACCGUAGAGACCAACUUAUUCAUACUCGGUCUCAUGGUAGAUCAAGCUGUACUCCGUAUAUCAUCAAUCAAUACAAUCAAAGAAGGACGCAAGGUCUUAUCUCUUAG
rnacentral:rRNA from 1 species